UUGGUUUCGUAAACACACACGUUCCAUUCCCUGCACUGACAAAUCAGCCUAUACUAUGAGCUGUUUUCUACGCAGAGCUCAGAUAUUUUUAAAUUCAACAUCAUAUGGAAUCUGCUUAAGGUAUACAUGCUUACUUCCUGGAGUGACUUCCUACCCAAGGCCUGCUGGAUAUUAAUUCUGUACAGCAGAAGAAUGGCCACUAAAGAUGCCCACACCUUAGUCUCUGGAACUUCUGGAUAUGUUGUCCUACAUGGCAAAAGGAACUUUAGAAAUGGUAUUAAAAUUAUUGACAUUAAUAUAUGGAGAUUAUUGGGUGGACUCAAUGUGAAUGUGUGGGCCUUUAAAAGUGGGAGUGAAGGGCAGAGCAGCAAGUCAGAAAGACAAAAUGAUAGACCUCUUUCAAAGCCCAGAAGGACGUGACACAUCAUUGCUGGCUUUUAAGAUGGAAGAAGGAAACCAUGAGCCAAGGGAUGCAGGCAGCCUCUAGAAGCUGAAAACACACAGGAAACUUCUUCUCUAGAGUCCCUAGAAGGAACAAAACCCUGCUGACUCCUUGAUUUAGGCUUUUGAGACUCAAAGUACAGAAAUAAUGGAGCCCAUGAACUUCUGACCUCUAAGUUUCUGGCAAAUUUUUAUAGUAGCAAAACAAAACAAAACAAAAAUGCACCCUCCUUCUCCAUUCCCUUCAUCUCCUCCAAUUUCACGACCUCCUAUAAUCAUCCAGCCUCCUUGCUUCCAUGGGACAACUCUGAAAAGCCAUCCCAGCUCCAAAGCUCCAUUUUCAUCAUCAUCAUCCAUCAUCAUCACCAUCUCUACAGCCCUCUUUUACUGAGCCUGUUAAGUAGGAGGCACUGGGCUUAGUGCUUCCUUGCUGCUGUCUCUGACCUUUACCACAUCCCACCAGGUAGGUGUUAUGAGCUCUUCUUGACAGAAGAGAUAAGUGAAUCCUGGAAAGGCAAGCAAGUUUUCAUAGGCUACAGAGAUAAGUAUAGGAUCCUAGGGAGCUAUCUUUGGUUGAAAAAUUAUUUCAACAUUGUAGUCAGGCAAAAGCUAUAAUAUGCUAUUGUUUAUAUUCAGUAUAUAUAUUAUUUCUUUGGAGACAGGGUCUCGCUCUGCCGCCCAGGCUAAGUUGUAGUGGCAUGAUCUCAGCUCAUUGCAACCUCCAUCUCCCAGGUUCAAGCAAUUCUCUCUGCCUCAGCCUCUCAAGUAGCUGGGAUUACAGGUGUCUGCUACCAUGCCUAGCUACGUUUUUCUUUUUUGUUUGUUUGUUUGUUUUUUUUUUUUUUUAGUAGAGAUGAAGUUUU
rnacentral:lncRNA from 13 species